rnacentral:lncRNA from 12 species
AGCAGAGGGAGACGCUGGCCUGCAGUGCAGCUGGAUCUGAGGACUUGACAGAUCCCAUAGGUAACCCUGGAGCUGGGGCAGCCCUUCAGAAUUGUCCCAAACUGAGGCAAUGGGCUGAACUCGUGUUUCCACAUUAUCCAGUCUGGAAGGGAUAAGGAUCUAGGGUCAGGGCGUUCCUAGCGGUGGAGGACAAUGCCCCUCUAGGAACACAACUGUGAGUCAUCAGCAGCUGAUACUCCCAACAGGGGGAGGACUGAUAAGGCCAGGCCUGAGGAAAGGAUCUGUGUAGGCUCUAUGGUAUUCCCGGCAAGCAACCAAUAUUUCCAGGAUAUGUGAGAUCUGAGAUCCAUCUCUAUUCCAUCUUGUCUUGAUACAAUGGAUAACAAGAAGAGCUGUUACUUGUGCAAUGCUUCUUACUUAGCAACUACUAUGCUUAAGGGCUUCGCACUCAUCCUCUCCAAUUCCAGCAAAUAACCACUGUUAGUGGCAUUUUACAGAUGAGGACACCAAGGCUCAGAAGCUCAGACGCGACCAGUCCCAGACCACCCAGCUCAUGAAGGGAGAGUCGGGUUUUGACAUCAAAGCCAAGCCACUUCAUCUCUAGCCCACCACAGGCCACAUGGAGCAAGUUCCCAGGAAGCGAAUUAACGUUUACAAACAUCAAUCUGACACCGCAAGAUUCUUGGCCCUCAAAGAAAGAUAAGAUUAUGUUCGGUAAACUCUGCUUCCUAAAUAGGAAAAGGGGCCUGAGACCAAAUGAUAAGAUAUUAAACAGGGUUGAAAUGAGAAAGAACUUCUGGUGGCCCAGAGGGUGGAGUAGAUCAAGGUUUGUACUACACACUGUAAAUCAAAGUUAAUUAUAUUUUUGCUCUGCAUUGUACGUGGUGAAAUGGGUCAUAAUUUUACAUGUGCCUCAGUGUUCUCUUCCCCAGUGGCAGCUCCCAGGGGAAAAGCCUCAGGUCGGUCUGCUUUACCUUGCAUGGCCCCUAGCACCGCAGCAACACGGGACAACAGGAUUCAAGCCAGUGAGCCACGGUCUCUGUGCCUGAGGAACUCCAUCCAGCAGGCUUAAAGU